GGUCAAGCGAGCAAGCGCCUACGGUGGAUGCCUUGGCGGUAGGAGGCGAAGAAGGACGUGGCAGCCUGCGAAAAGCCUCGGGGAGCUGGCAAGCAAGCGUUGAUCCGGGGGUAUCCGAAUGGGGAAACCCACCUGCGGUAAGGCAGGUAUCCGCUUCUGAAUUCAUAGGGAGCGGAGGCGAACCUGGGGAACUGAAACAUCUCAGUACCCAGAGGAAAAGAAAUCAACCGAGAUUCCCCAAGUAGCGGUGAGCGAACGGGGAGGAGCCUGGCACGAUUUAGCUUUUGCUCUAGGGGAACGGUCUGGAAAGGCCGACCAAAGAGGGUGACAGUCCCGUACCCGAAAGGGCGAAAGUGGAACUAAGCGUGCGGACAAGUAGGGCGGGACACGUGGAAUCCUGUCCGAAGAUGGGGGGCCCACCCUCCAAGGCUAAAUACUCCCUACCGACCGAUAGUGAACCAGUACCGUGAGGGAAAGGCGAAAAGAACCCCGGAGAGGGGAGUGAAAUAGAACCUGAAACCGUAGGCGUACAAGCAGUCGGAGCCUGGCUUUGGCCGGGUGACGGCGUACCUUUUGUAUAAUGGGUCAGCGAGUUACUGGGAGUGGCGAGGUUAACCGGGUAGGGGAGCCGUAGGGAAACCGAGUCCGAACAGGGCGAAAAGUCGCUUCCAGUAGACCCGAAACCGGGCGAUCUACCCAUGGCCAGGGUGAAAGUGGGGUAAUGCCCGCUGGAGGCCCGAACCGGUUACUGUUGCAAAAGUAUCGGAUGAGCUGUGGGUAGGAGUGAAAGGCUAAACAAGCUCGGAGAUAGCUGGUUCUCCCCGAAAGCUAUUGAGGUAGUGCCUUGGGUGGUCACUUUAGGGGGUAGAGCACUGUUUGGGUUGGGGGCCUCGUCAAGGGGUACCUCGCUCAGGCAAACUCCGAAUACCUAAAAGUGCAGCCCAGGAGACAGACGGCGGGUGAUAAGGUCCGUCGUCGAGAGGGAAACAGCCCAGACCGCCAGCUAAGGUCCCCAAAUCACGCUUAAGUGGGAAACGAUGUGGGAAGGCGAAGACAGCCAGGAGGUUGGCUUAGAAGCAGCCAUCCUUUAAAGAAAGCGUAAUAGCUCACUGGUCGAGUCGGCCUGCGCGGAAGAUCCAACGGGGCUUAAAGCGUGUACCGAAGCUGCGGGCGGUAGGGGAGCGUUCCGUAAGCCGGUGAAGGCGGCUUGAGAAGGCCGCUGGAGGUAUCGGAAGUGCGAAUGCUGACAUGAGUAACGAGAAAGGGGGUGAAAAUCCCCCUCGCCGAAAGCCCAAGGUUUCCUGCGCAACGCUCAUCGGCGCAGGGUUAGUCGGCACCUAAGGCGAGGCCGAAAGGCGUAGUCGAUGGCAAACCGGUUAAUAUUCCGGUACCUCUUAGGACUGCGAUGGGGGGACGAAGGCGGGAAGGCGCAGCCGGGUAACGGACAUCCCGGUCUAAGCGGGUAGGAGGUCGCUCUAGGCAAAUCCGGAGCGGCGAUAACUCCGAGACGUGAUGGGGAAGCCUUUUUGGCGAACUGCGCUGGCGAGCCUUCCAAGAAAAGCCUCUAAGCGUUCAGGUCCUAAGGGGCCGUACCAAAACCGACACAGGUGGGCGGGGUGAAGAUCCUAAGGCGCUUGAGAGAACCCGGGUGAAGGAACUAGGCAAAAUGACACCGUAACUUCGGGAGAAGGUGUGCCUGCUCUAGGUGAAAGGGCUUGCCCCUGGAGCCGAAGCAGGUCGCAGAGAAAUGGGGGCUGCGACUGUUUACCAAAAACACAGCACUCUGCUAACGCGUAAGCGGACGUAUAGGGUGUGACGCCUGCCCGGUGCCGGAAGGUUAAGGGAUGGGGUUAGCCGCGAGGCGAAGCUCCUGAACGAAGCCCCGGUAAACGGCGGCCGUAACUAUAACGGUCCUAAGGUAGCGAAAUUCCUUGUCGGGUAAGUUCCGACCUGCACGAAUGGCGUAACGACAGCCCUACUGUCUCCAUCCGGGACUCAGUGAAGUUGAACUCGCUGUGAAGAUGCAGUGUACCUGCGGCAAGACGGAAAGACCCCGUGAACCUUUACUACAGCUUUACGCUGGAUGCUGGGCUUGCCUGUGUAGGAUAGGUGGGAGGCGAAGAAGGAGGGACGCCAGUUCCUCUGGAGCCGUCCUUGAAAUACCACCCUGGUGAGUCUGGCGUUCUAACCUAGGAAAGUAAUCCUUUCCGGGGACAGCGUAUGGUGGGUAGUUUGACUGGGGCGGUCUCCUCCUAAAGGGUAACGGAGGAGCACGAAGGUACCCUCAGCGCGGUCGGAAAUCGCGCAGUGCGUGCAAGGGCAUAAGGGUGCUUGACUGCGAGACCGACGGGUCGAGCAGGUGCGAAAGCAGGUCCUAGUGAUCCGGUGGCGCUUCGUGGAAGGGCCAUCGCUCAACGGAUAAAAGGUACUCCGGGGAUAACAGGCUGAUACCCCCCAAGAGUUCACAUCGACGGGGGUGUUUGGCACCUCGAUGUCGGCUCAUCACAUCCUGGGGCUGAAGCCGGUCCCAAGGGUAUGGCUGUUCGCCAUUUAAAGUGGUACGCGAGCUGGGUUCAGAACGUCGUGAGACAGUUCGGUCCCUAUCUGCCGCAGGCGUUGGAGACUUGAGGGGAGCUGCUCCUAGUACGAGAGGACCGGAGUGGACGGACCUCUGGUGUGCCGGUUGUUGCGCCCGCAGCAUCGCCGGGUAGCUAUGUCCGGACGGGAUAACCGCUGAAAGCAUCUAAGCGGGAAGCCCACCCCAAGAUGAGGUCUCCCCGGAUCGUCCAGAUCCCUCAAGGGCCCUGGAAGACGACCAGGUCGAUAGGCCGGAGGUGGAAGCGCCGUAAGGCGUGAAGCUGACCGGUACUAAUGGCCCGUGAGGCUUGACCCUAU
rnacentral:rRNA from 1 species